CCUACGGGAGGCUGCAGUGGGGAAUAUUGGACAAUGGGGGGAACCCUGAUCCAGCCAUGCCGCGUGUGUGAAGAAGGCCCUCGGGUUGUAAAGCACUUUCAGUGAGGAAGAACGCCUGGUGGUUAAUACCCAUCAGGAAAGACAUCACUCACAGAAGAAGCACCGGCUAACUCCGUGCCAGCAGCCGCGGUAAUACGGAGGGUGCGAGCGUUAAUCGGAAUUACUGGGCGUAAAGCGCGCGUAGGUGGCUUGAUAAGCCGGUUGUGAAAGCCCCGGGCUCAACCUGGGAACGGCAUCCGGAACUGUCAAGCUAGAGUGCAGGAGAGGAAGGUAGAAUUCCCGGUGUAGCGGUGAAAUGCGUAGAGAUCGGGAGGAAUACCAGUGGCGAAGGCGGCAUUCUGGACUGACACUGACACUGAGGUGCGAAAGCGUGGGUAGCAAACAGGAUUAGAUACCCCGGUAGUC
rnacentral:rRNA from 1 species